rnacentral:rRNA from 1 species
CCCUUAGAUGUUCUGGGCUGCACGCGCGCUACACUGAUGCACUCAACGAGUUUACGACCUUGCCCGAUAGGGUUGGGUAAUCUUUUUAAAAUGCAUCGUGAUGGGGAUAGAUUAUUGCAAUUAUUAAUCUUCAACGAGGAAUUCCUAGUAAGCGCGAGUCAUCAGCUCGUGCUGAUUACGUCCCUGCCCUUUGUACACACCGCCCGUCGCUCCUACCGAUUGAGUGCUCAGGUGAAUAAUUCGGACUGCAGCAAUGUUUGGAUCCCGAACGUUGCAGCGGAAAGUUUAGAACCUUAUCACUUAGAGGAAGGAGAAGUCGUAACA